GCCAGGUGUGAUGGUGCAUGCCUAUAGUCCCACCUAUUCAGGAGGCUGAGAUGGGAGGACUGUUUAGCCAAGGAAUUUUUGCUGUAAUAUGCAUGCUAGUUAGGUGUCUGAACUAUGUUUGGCACCAAUGUGGUGACCUCCUGGGAGCAUGGGACCACCAGGUUGCCUAAGAAGGGGUGAAAUGUCCCAGGUUGGAAACGAAGAGGUAAAAACUCCCAUGCUGAUCAGCAGUGGGAUUCUGCCUGUGAAUAGCCACUGCACUCCAGCCUGGGCAACACAGUGAGACCCUGUCUCUU
rfam:Callithrix jacchus chromosome 7, whole genome shotgun sequence